rnacentral:lncRNA from 1 species
GGGGUGGUGAGUGGUAGUAGUAAGGUGGUGGAGGUGAUUUCACUGGUGGGGGAGGUGAGUGAUAGUAGUAUGGUGGUGGUGGAGAUUUCACCGGAGGAGGUGGGGAGUGGUAGUAGUAUGGUGGUGGUGGAGAUUUCACCGGAGGAGGUGGUGAGUGGUAGUAGUAAGGUGGAGGAGGAGAUUUCACCGGUGGAGGUGGGGAGUGGUAGUAGUAUGGUGGUGGUGGAGAUUUCACCGGUGGAGGUGGUGAGUGGUAGUAGUAUGGUGGUGGUGGAGAUUUCACCGGAGGAGGUGGGGAGUGGUAGUAGUAUGGUGGUGGUGGAGAUUUCACCGGAGGAGGUGGGGAGUGGUAGUAGUAAGGUGGAGGAGGAGAUUUCACCGGAGGAGGUGGUGAGUGGUAGUAGUAUGGUGGUGGUGGAGAUUUCACCGGAGGAGGUGGUGAGUGGUAGUAGUAUGGUGGUGGUGGAGAUUUCACCGGAGGAGGUGGUGAGUGGUAGUAGUAUGGUGGUGGUGGAGAUUUCACCGGAGGAGGUGGGGAGUGAUAGUAGUAAGGUGGAGGAGGAGACUUCACCGGAGGAGGUGGGGAGUGGUAGUAGUAAGGAGGGGGUGGCGACUUCACGGGAGGAGGUGGGGAGUGGUAGUAGUAAGGAGGGGGAGGAGAUUUCACCGGAGGAGGUGGAGAGUGGUAGUAGUAAGGUGGGGGUGGAGACUUCACCGGAGGAGGUGGGGAGUGGUAGUAGUAAGGAGGGGGUGGAGACUUCACCGGAGGAGGUGGAGAGUGGUAGUAGUAAGGUGGAGGAGGAGACUUCACCGGAGGAGGUGGAGAAUGGUAAUAGUAAGGAGGAGGAGGAGAUUUCACCGGAGGAGGUGGUGAAUGAUAGUAGUAUGGUGGUGGAGGAGACUUGACCGGAGGUGGUGGAGAAUGGUAGUAGUAUGGAGGUGGUGGGGAUUUGACGGGUGGUGGUGGUGAGUGAUAAUAAUAUGGAGGUGGAGGAGAUUUUACUGGUGGUGGAGGAGAGUGGUAGUAGUAUGGUGUAGGAGUGUGCGUUGGAGGGGGUGGUGAUUUGUAAACAUACGUUGGAGUGGGAGGAGGCGGUGACUUGUAGACAUAGGUCGGAGUAGGAGGAGGUGGUGAUUUGUAAAUAUAGGUUGGAGUUGGUGGUGGUGGAGAUUUGUAAACAUAUGUUGGGGUUGGAGGUGGUGGUGACUUGUAUACAUAAGUAGGAGUUGGUGGAGGUGGUGACUUGUAGACAUAAGUAGGGGUUGGUGGUGGUGGAGAUUUAUAGACAUAAGUCGGGGUUGGUGGCGGUGGUGAUUUGUAAACAUAGGUCGGGGUUGGCGGUGGUGGUGACUUGUAAACAUAUGUCGGAGUUGGCGGUGGUGGUGAUUUGUAGACGUAAGUCGGAGUUGGUGGAGGUGGUGAUUUGUAGACAUAAGUUGGAGUUGGUGGUGGUGGAGACUUGUAGACAUAGGUUGGAGCCGGUGGUGGUGGUGACUUGUAGUAGUAAACCGGAGACGGUGGUGGUGGAGAUUUGUAAUAGUAUGGAGGAUGGUAAGGAGCCGGUUUGUGGCAUUCACCAUAAGGUUUCUUCGGUGCAUAAGCAAAGGACUUAGCAUAAAGCACAACCUCGUACUUUGUCUUUGAUUUCACAUGGAGUUUUGCACCUUUGUUACCCAUAUGGUAACUUGUAGGAAUGUUACAUGGCGAUCCCUUAGGAGGAGCAUGAAGCUUGGCCGUGCAGACUUCGCCACCGUAUUUACGGUAGUUGUAUCCUUUAACGGUGAUUGCGUAUUUACCGUUGAUUUUGGUCUUUCCGUAUGCCUUCACUGUCUUGUCACCGGCCUUGCAAGUCACUUCCACAACAGCACCUAUAUGACAAAAACAAAUUAUUAAAAUUUAAAAAUAUCAUUUGAUGUCCUUUUAGUUGGUAUAUCUACAAAAUCGAUUUUGCUUGUUCGAUCUCUUUGGAUUGUUUGUCAAUAACAGAUUCUUGUCUUUUUCUUGACUUAAUCUCGUUUUCUUUUCUCCACUAAUAAAAAUAAAAUCUAGAUCACAUGCAACUACUAGUACUUUACAAUACAUAUAUGCUAGUUAAUUAUUUAAGUCCUAUAAGCAUCAAGAUAAAAUUAUGUAAAUUAGUUAAGGAAUUUGCUAAGAUUAGAAUUUAUUAUUGAACACGUGGGGGAGACUUAUAAGUUACCUUUGAGAUGCUUCUUAUCGUGGGACUUUUUAGGGUAUGUCCAGUCAUAACAUCUGUAACAGUACACCUUACCAACAACUUUGAAGACAAGUGGAUGUGUGUGUGGGUGAGGAUGAGGGUAUGACACCGGAGGUGGUGGUGAUGAAUAGUAGUAUGGUGGAGAGUACGACUUUGGUGGUGGUGGUGGAGAUGAGUAGUAAUAUGGUGGAGGGUAAGAUUUUGGUGGUGGUGGAGAUGAGUAAUAGUAAGGUGGAGGUGGUGAUUUCACCGGAGGAGGCGGUGAAUGGUAGUAGUAUGGAGGUGGAGGAGAUUUGACCGGUGGUGGUGGAGAGUGAUAAUAGUAUGGCGGCGGUGGAGAUUUAACUGGGGGAGGAGGAGAGUGGUAGUAGUACGGUGGUGGUGGAGAUUUGACUGGAGGAGGAGGAGAGUGGUAGUAGUACGGUGGUGGUGGAGACUUGACCGGAGGAGGAGGAGAGUGGUAGUAGUAAGGUGGAGGUGGAGACUUAACCGGAGGAGGAGGAGAGUGAUAGUAGUACGGUGGUGGAGGAGACUUCACCGGAGGGGGUGGAGAGUGAUAGUAGUACGGUGGUGGAGGAGACUUCACCGGAGGAGGUGGAGAAUGGUAGUAGUAUGGUGGUGGUGGAGAUUUCACUGGAGGAG